rnacentral:rRNA from 1 species
AUGAACGCCGGCGGCGUGCCUCAUACAUGCAAGUCGCGCGCACAGACGAGGAGCUUGCUCCUCUGACGUUAGCGGCGGACGGGUGAGUAACACGUGGAUAACCUACCUAUAAGACUGGGAUAACUUCGGGAAACCGGAGCUAAUACCGGAUAAUAUAUUGAACCGCAUGGUUCAAUAGUGAAAGACGGUUUUGCUGUCACUUAUAGAUGGAUCCGCGCCGCAUUAGCUAGUUGGUAAGGUAACGGCUUACCAAGGCAACGAUGCGUAGCCGACCUGAGAGGGUGAUCGGCCACAGUGGAACUGAGACACGGUCCAGACUCCUACGGGAGGCAGCAGUAGGGAAUCUUCCGCAAUGGGCGAAAGCCUGACGGAGCAACGCCGCGUGAGUGAUGAAGGUCUUCGGAUCGUAAAACUCUGUUAUUAGGGAAGAACAAAUGUGUAAGUAACGAUGCACGUCUGGACGGUACCUAAGCAGAAAGCCACGGCUAACUACGG